GGCAGAGCAAAUCUCAAAAAGACCGUCCCAGUUCGGAUCGCAGGCUGCAACCCGCCUGCGUGAAGUUGGAAUCGCUAGUAAUCGCGGAUCAGCAUGCCGCGGUGAAUACGUUCCCGGGCCUUGUACACACCGCCCGUCACACCAUGAGAGUCGGGAACACCCGAAGUCCGUAGCCUAACCGCAAGGGGGGCGCGGCCGAAGGUGGGUUCGAUAAUUGGGGUGAAGUCGUAACAAGGUAAC
rnacentral:rRNA from 1 species